AGUGCAGGCAAAAAUUGAGUACUAGAAGCACAGCAAAAGAGGACAAAUAGCAGAAGGGCUGGCAGGAGGACCCACAACAGCUGCUGAGAGGAAAACCCAGGAUUGCUCACAGCACAUGUGGUCUGAUUCUUCCUCGUCAGCGUAUUGUUGUUCUCUCUCCAGAGAAUUACAAUACAGACACAAGAAAAUUAAUUCCUGUCAUAGAAGGAGACAAGAAUUAUGAGGAACAAAAUGGGGGCUUGAUUUUUCUACUGACUGAACUUCAAAAUUGAUUAUUUCUGAAGUUUGUCUGAAGUUAUCCAAGAUGAACCACAAUAAUUAUUUUUAUGCUAGGAUGACUGCUGCUCUGAUAACUGAGAGAAACGAAGACUUCUAAAUCUAAAAAAGUGAAAUAUUGUUAUUGUUUCCGAAAACCAAUUUAAUUUUGCAUGCGCUCUUUUCUUCUUUAGAAUAAACAACAACAAAAUCAUUAAAUAAUACAGGAAGAGUUUCUAUUGCCUUACCUUUCCCCUUCAACAAAUCGUUAAUGUGAAGUCAUAAAUAAGUAAUUGUUCAAGUGAAAGGGGAUGCAGACCAACUCACAGUUAUUUUUCCCAUGUUUUCCUCAGAGUACAAAGGUAACAGAUAUAUAGCUAUUUAGAUUUUUAAUACUAGAGAGGACCCAUAAGGCAGUUUUACUGUUUCCCUCUGCUAAGUCACAUAUUGUUCCCAAAAGGCUGAGGAUUUUGUUGGUAUUUGAGAGAAAGGCAGAUAUCUCACGGUUUCACAUAUUGUCCACGUUAUUAACUUUGUGAUAGAUAAAGCUAUUCACAUUUUAGCUUAUUAUUCAAAUAUGUUUCAAAAUGGCAAAGCUUAGACAGGCAUUUGGAGAAGUUCCAGACUUUUGCUUCUGUUGAAAUCAACAGUAAAACAGAUUAACUUCAACUGGAGCAAGACUAAAGCAUUAUGAGGUAAUUGUUAGAAUAAAAACAAUGUCACAGAAAUGUGCAGCUUGUUAAACUUAGAAAGUCUUUAUAUGAAAAUAGAGUUGCCCUGUAGUGCACAGUUUUGAAAUAACACUCUUAAAUGGGUCAAGAAAUACUGUUCUGAGUUGUAAUAUUGUUUCAUUCCAGAAAGCUUCAAAUGUGAUGAUUCUCUGAUUUUAUCUAAAUGUGAAAAACUAUCUCAUAUAUAACAGUAUUCCAAAGUAACAAACUCAAGACAUUAAUGUUGUCUAUAAAAAAAAUUAAAAAAGGAAAUAUACAUAUGUUAAUAAAGGUGAGGCAUUACUCUGUUUUGCAGUCUUUGAGUUCAUAGAAAUAACUGCAGUGAAGUAUUUCAUGUAAACUAUUUUAUCUCAGAUAGAAUGUGAGCAUGUGCAAUGAAGAAUAUUUAUAAAGAACUGAUAUCCAACAGCUUCUUAUAGAUUCCUUAUGCAUUUCCUAAAUACUGACUAUAACAUAAUGUAUUUAGCAAUACCAUGAUUAUUGGCUGUAAUAAGGUUCAUUAUAAACAUAAGGUAUAAGCACAGAGGAAAUAGUCACAAGCCAUCAUGAUGUUGGAACUCAGUCACAGCUUUUAGGAAUGUGUUUAUUUUAUCGAAGGACAAGAUUCUGGGAAAAGCUGCCUGGCUUCUUUUUAAGACAGCUGCUGAUACAUUAUUGGUUGACUAAUUAGCAGGCUUUAUGAGUUUUGUUGUUUUUUUUCCCCCUGUUGAAUAAAAAAA
ensembl:lncRNA